GUCAGAGUGGCAUAGUGGUUUGAGCAUUGGACUUUGACUCUGGAGAUCAGGGUUUGAUUCCUAAUCUGCUGUGAAA